UACGUAGGCGGAAGAUUAAGUCAGUGGUGAAAUCCUGCAGCUUAACUGUAGAACUGUCAUUGAUACUGGUUUUCUUGAAUUUAGUUGAGGUAGGCGGAAUGUGUAAUGUAGCGGUGAAAUGCUUAGAUAUUACACAGAACACCGAUUGCGAAGGCAGCUUACUAAACUAUUAUUGACGCUGAGGCACGAAAGCGUGGGGAGCGAACAGGAUUAGAUACCCUGGUAGUCC
rnacentral:rRNA from 1 species